rnacentral:rRNA from 1 species
UACGAAGGGGGCUAGCGUUGUUCGGAAUUACUGGGCGUAAAGGGCGCGUAGGCGGUACUUCAAGUCAGGCGUGAAAGCCCCGGGCUCAACCUGGGAACCGCGCUUGAGACUGGAGAACUAGAGUUCGGGAGAGGAUGGUGGAAUUCCCAGUGUAGAGGUGAAAUUCGUAGAUAUUGGGAAGAACACCGAUGGCGAAGGCAGCCCCCUGGGCCAACACUGACGCUCAGGCACGAAAGCGUGGGGAGCAAACAGG